rnacentral:rRNA from 1 species
CACGAACCGUACGAACGUUAUUCGGAAUUACUGGGCUUAAAGGGUUUGUAGGCGGCCAUGUAAGUCAGGUGUGAAAUCCCUCGGCUCAACCGAGGAACGGCGCUUGAUACUGCAUGGCUUGAGGGAGACAGGGGUAAGCGGAACUGAUGGUGGAGCGGUGAAAUGCGUUGAUAUCAUCAGGAACACCGGUGGCGAAAGCGGCUUACUGGGUCUCUUCUGACGCUGAGGAACGAAAGCUAGGUAGCGAA